rfam:Microbacterium testaceum StLB037 DNA, complete genome.
GGGCCUGUAGCUCAGUUGGCAGAGCAUCGGACUUUUAAUCCGCGGGUCGAGGGUUCGAGCCCCUCCGGGCCCA